rnacentral:rRNA from 1 species
AGUGAACGCUGGCGGUAGGCCUAACACAUGCAAGUCGAACGGCAGCACAGUAAGAGCUUGCUCUUACGGGUGGCGAGUGGCGGACGGGUGAGGAAUACAUCGGAAUCUACUUUUUCGUGGGGGAUAACGUAGGGAAACUUACGCUAAUACCGCAUACGACCUACGGGUGAAAGCAGGGGAUCUUCGGUCCUUGCGCGAUUGAAUGAGUCGAUGUCGGAUUAGCUAGUUGGCGGGGUAAAGGCCCACCAAGGCGACGAUCCGUAGCUGGUCUGAGAGGAUGAUCAGCCACACUGGAACUGAGACACGGUCCAGACUCCUACGGGAGGCAGCAGUGGGGAAUAUUGGACAAUGGGCGCAAGCCUGAUCCAGCCAUACCGCGUGGGUGAAGAAGGCCUUCGGGUUGUAAAGCCCUUUUGUUGGGAAAGAAAAGCAGCAGGUUAAUACCCCGCUGUUCUGACGGUACCCAAAGAAUAAGCACCGGCUAACUUCGUG